ACGCUGGCGGCAAGCCUAACACAUGCAAGUCGAACGGACAAUUAUUUAUAGCCUCUGGCUAUAGGAAAUUGUUAGUGGCAGACGGGUGAGUAAUGCGUAGGAAUCUACCUAGUAGUACGGAAUAGCCAUUAGAAAUGGUGGGUAAUACUGUAUAAUCCCCGAGGGGGAAAGAUUUAUCGCUAUUAGAUGAGCCUACGUUAGAUUAGCUAGUUGGUGAGGUAAUGGCUUACCAAGGCUAUGAUCUAUAGCUGGUCUGAGAGGACGAUCAGCCACACUGGAACUGAGAUACGGUCCAGACUCCUACGGGAGGCAGCAGUGGGGAAUAUUGGACAAUGGGCGAAAGCCUGAUCCAGCUAUGCCGCGUGAGUGAAGAAGGCCUUCGGGUUGUAAAACUCUUUCAAUAGGGAAGAUAAUGACGGUACCUAUAGAAGAAGUCCCGGCAAACUCUGUGCCAGCAGCCGCGGUAAUACGGAGGGGGCAAGCGUUGUUCGGAAUUAUUGGGCGUAAAGGGCACGUAGGUGGACUAGUAAGUUAAAAGUGAAAUACCAAAGCUUAACUUUGGAGCGGCUUUUAAUACUGCUAGACUAGAGGCCGAAAAGAG
rnacentral:rRNA from 1 species